rnacentral:rRNA from 1 species
CACGUAGGGCGCAAGCGUUGUCCGGAAUUAUUGGGCGUAAAGAGCUCGUAGGCGGUCUGUUGCGUCUGCUGUGAAAACUCGGGGCUUAACCCCGAGCCUGCAGUGGAUACGGGCAGACUAGAGGUAGGUAGGGGAGAAUGGAAUUCCCGGUGUAGCGGUGAAAUGCGCAGAUAUCGGGAGGAACACCGGUGGCGAAGGCGGUUCUCUGGGCCUUACCUGACGCUGAGGCACGAAAGCUAGGGUAGCAAACGGG